rnacentral:ncRNA from 2 species
UUUUUGUACUAGGGGGGCUGGAAAGGCCAGCUGAGAUAGAGAACCGACAAAGUCUCUGACCCUUUUACCUGAUCUGGAUAAUACCAGCGUAGGGAAGUAACAUGUUUAUGAA